rfam:Carnobacterium divergens DSM 20623 NODE_17, whole genome shotgun sequence.
GUUAAGACACCGCCCUUUCACGGCGGUAUCACGGGUUCGAUUCCCGUACGGGUCA